ensembl:snRNA U6 U6 spliceosomal RNA
GAGCACUUCGGCAGCACAUACACUAAAAUUGGAACGAUACAGAGAAGAUUAGCAUGGCCCCUGUGCAAGGAUGACAUGCAGAUUUGUGAAGCUUCCAUAUUUUUA